ensembl:lncRNA
GUUAGCUUGUCAUUUCUGGUCUUUGAAAUUUGUUUUCUUUUCGAAUUAUUUAUUUUGAUUUUAUAUAUUGGAAUUAUUUUGUAACCUUUUUAUGUUUUAACUGAUCCAUGUUUCUCUUUGUCUUACAGGUAAAAAUCCUUGGUGAAGUCACCAGAUAUGGAUGGGUAAGUACUGCAUCUAAAGUUAAAAUUGCUUGGAAAUAAGAUUAGAAAUGCCUUUCUCUUGCAAAGUGUGUCAGUACUCUGUAGAGUCUAUUUCAGAAAGAGGUAAGUCAUUUUCAGCUAUUGAAGAAUGCAGUAAAAUUCAUAAAAUGAGAGCGGUUUUAGCUUUGUAACGGAUCGAGGAGAUCAGGAUCAUUCAGAAAGGGGAUGCAUUGUGAAACGAAUAUCUGUGUAGGUCUGUGCAGUGUUGAAUAUGUUUUUCAUUUCUUUCAGCGUGUAUGUUGUUCGACAAUGCAGCGUGCUGAUGAGUUAAUAAAGAGCGUGUAUGUUAUUCGACAUUGCAGCGUGCUGAUGAGUAUCGCUCUUCGGUUAAUAAAGAGGCAGCAAAAACCUGGGAUCUGCAUUGGCCCUGUCAAGUCUGGAGAGUGUUUUUACCGUUUAAUGAAUUAAAUUGCAAUAAAAGUUUUUAAAUGGACUUCUGAGUGUUGUCAUAAUUUACGUGACAUCUAAUAAUCAGUAAUAUAACUGUGUGAAAAUUGCAUACAAGCCUUUAUAUUUCAUUAUUUUUUAAGCAUGUAACAGAUUGUAGUUAGUUAUAUGUUGUGUAUAUAUGCGUAUAUGUGAAUAUAAAAACUACCAUAAUCAAUUAUACUGCAUAGUAACUUUACAGUAUUUUAAAAUACAGUGCAAAAACAUGAACUGUAAUUAAUUUUACAGUAUAAAUAUACUGUAAGUUAUUAUACAGUAUGUUGUGAACUACUGUAGUCAGAUAUACAGUAAUUUUACCGUGGAAUAAAAUACUGAAGCUUGCUGGCUAUUUGUUGCCAGUAAGUUACUGUUGAUUUUACGUUAAAUUUUUUACAGUGUACCCCCUGUAAAUGGUAAGAAAAUCACUUACGUCCCCCUGAGAAACUACUACAGUCCGAAUAGGGCUAUAGCUGAGAGGAUACUGUCUUUUAGUAUUUUUGAUAGGAAGGAGAGAUUUGAGAUUAUGUCUUCCUCUUUAUGAUGUGCCAAAUUUUUUCUGUGGGUGAAAGAUCUGGACUGCAGGCUGGCCAUUUCGGAUCCUUCUUUUACGCAGCCAUGAUGUUGUAAUUGAUGCAGUAUGUGGUCUGGCAUUGUCAUGUUGGAAAAUGCAAGGUCUUCCUAACCUUCCUUUAUACCCAAUCAUGUUGCCAAUUGACCUAAUAAGUUGCAAAUUGGUCCUCCAGCUGUUCCUUAUAUGUACAUUUAACUUUUCCAGCCUCUUAUUGCUACCUGUCCCAACUUUUUUGGAAUGUGUAGCUCUCAUGAAAUCCAAAAUGAGCCAAUGUUUGGCAUGACAUUUCAAAAUGUCUCACUUUCAACAUUUGAUGUUAUCUAUAUUCUACUGUAAAUAAAAUAUAAAUGUAUGAGAUUUGUAAAUUAUUCCAUUCCUUGUACAGUGUCCCAACUUUUUUUGGAAUCGGGUUUGUAUAACAAGUAUUUGAAUUACUAUAAUAUUGCAGUUUUUUAUAUAAUCAUUUAUAGAUGUCCAAAUAGAAGGUGCUGCAGGUC